UGCAUUUGUACAGAUGGUGUCAACAGCGUUAUCUACUGCAGCCGGCUUUGUCGGCUGAUGUCAAGAGCGUGCCAUGCAUCAGUGCCGGGACCAUCGCGCGCGCACUCACCGUCACGCAACUGCUUACGCCCACAGGACCUACGCUGACAUGGCCGGCGAGGAGGUGGCCAAGAAGUACCAGAGCGCCAUCUUCCUGGCGGGCUCGGCCUCUGCUGAGUUCUUUGCCGACAUUGCCCUGUGCCCCUUCGAGGCCGUCAAGGUAAGGAACGCAGACAUCGGGACUUGCUAAAACCGCGGGUGUCCUAAGCAGUGUGAAGCUAGGCCUAUGCAGGUGAGGCGCAUGGAGGCGACCCGGGCUGUUAGCUCAAACCCCUGCGGCCAGUGGGGGCACACUAACCCGAGUUGCCGCGUUACCCGCUCCCACAGGUCAAGGUGCAGACUGUGCCCGGCUUCGCCAAGGGCCUGUCUGACGGCCUGCCCAAGUUCGUGGCGCAGGAGGGCUGGGGCGGGUGAGUGGCGCACCGCACCGGAUCGCGGCUAAAUAUGGGUUACUGUGUGAAGGGUGGUGCCAUGCAGCGCGUGUGCGUGAACCCAAAGAUGUUUGGGAAUCGGGGGGUUGCUUUCGCGGCCACGACAUCGAUAGGCGUCCGGAUGUUGUAAUUGGCCCCGGUCAGCGGCUUUGCCUGCAGCAUCCGGCGUGCCCCGAGUCUUUCCGCAACCACAAUGCCGCGGCACACCAAACCCCCAUUCCUUGCCCCCCCCUGCUCCGCAGCCUGUUCAAGGGCAUCAAGCCUCUGUGGGGCCGCCAGAUCCCCUACACCAUGAUGAAGUUCGGCGCCUUCGAGAACACGGUGCAGGCCAUCUACAAGUACGCCAUGCCCAAGCCCAAGAGCGAGUGCUCCAAGGGCGAGCAGCUGGGCGUGUCGUUCGCGGCCGGCUACAUUGCUGGUGUGUUCUGCGCCGUGGUGUCGCACCCCGCCGACAACCUGGUGUCCAAGCUGAACGCGCAGAAGGGCGCCACCGUCGGUGACAUCGUCAAGGAGAUGGGCUGGUACGCGCUGUUCACCCGCGGCCUGGGCCUGCGCAUUAUCAUGAUCGGUACCCUGACCGGGCUACAGUGGGGCAUCUACGAUGCCUUCAAGGUGGGGGCUGGGAAGAACGCAAGGGAGGUAUGGGUAGUAGAAGGGAGCAAAAGGGUGGGCAGGUGAGGGGUAGAGCGCGCGGGAGAGAUGGGAGAUGGGAGGAGCGAAGGACGAGGGGCGAAGGGAGCGCAAGAGGGAGGGAGCAGAGGGAAACGGGGCGAAUUGGAUCUUUUUGGCUGGACGGCUUGGUGGCAGAUGUCCGGGUGCAUGCUGCGGCGACAGCCCCUUUUGACCAACGCCGAUGCCAAAACACCACUUGACACCUGGUCUUGCUUGACGCGGCUUGUGGAUGUGCACGCAGGUGUCCAUGGGCCUGCCCACCACCGGCUCCGUCGAGGAGAAGAAGAAGUAAGCGCCUGCUGCCGGCAUGGAGCGGCCGCAGUUCAUGGGCCUGGGCGUGGAGCAGGGGCAUGAGUAGGAGGCGGCUGCGAGUGCAGGGAGAGGCGGUGCGAACUGCGGGCGGGCGUAGCGUCUGCACGCGUGUUCGCGCUAUUUACUAUGGGGGGGGGUAGGGAGGGGUUCGGCAUAGCCGACAGCUUAGGUGUGAUAACCUCGACGGACCUACAGUGUGCGCGGGAGCGUGUGUGCGCCCCGGCGGCUCGGCGUGUGCCGGCGACGGGAG
rnacentral:lncRNA from 1 species